rnacentral:rRNA from 1 species
UACGUAGGGGGCAAGCGUUGUCCGGAUUUAUUGGGCGUAAAGAGCGUGUAGGCGGCUGGGUAGGUCCGUUGUGAAAACUCGAGGCUCAACCUCGAGACGCCGAUGGAAACCCUCCAGCUAGAGUCCGGAAGAGGAGAGUGGAAUUCCUGGUGUAGCGGUGGAAUGCGCAGAUAUCAGGAGGAACACCAAUAGCGAAGGCAGCUCGCUGGGACGGUACUGACGCUGAGACGCGAAAGCGUGGGGAGCGAACAGG